UACGUAGGGUGCAAGCGUUAAUCGGAAUUACUGGGCGUAAAGCGUGCGCAGGCGGUUCGCUAAGACAGAUGUGAAAUCCCCGGGCUUAACCUUGGAACUGCAUUUGUGACUGGUGGGCUAGAGUAUGGCAGAGGGGAGUAGAAUUCCACGUGUAGCAGUGAAAUGCGUAGAGAUGUGGAGGAAUACCGAUGGCGAAGGCAGCCCCCUGGGCCAAUACUGACGCUCAUGCACGAAAGCGUGGGGAGCAAACAGG
rnacentral:rRNA from 1 species